rnacentral:tmRNA from 1 species
GGGCUUGACUGGUUUUGACAGCGGGCAGAAAUGGUUUGUAAGCAUGCAGUGCGUCGUUGUCCGGCACUUUAAUCUCGGAUGAUGAACAAUUAACUGGCGAAAAUAACUACGCUCUCGCUGCUUAAUCGAAGUAUAGUAGAUUUUAAGCUUUAUUCCUUCUCAAGGAGUUGGAACGAGACAUCACCCGGAAGCUCUGGCUUCGAAGCAAUCCGAUUCGGUGGUGCAGCAAUAUCGGAGAUAACCUGAAGUAAGUCUUGGACUUCAGGCGAAAUUCAGAGAAUAAGCUCAAUAUUGGUAGCUUCGGUCUUGUGUUGAGUCCAAAAUUUAAGCGAAGAUAAGCAUGUAGAAAGCAAAUUAGUUCCUCGUUUGGACGAGGGUUCGAAUCCCUCCAGGUCCAC